rnacentral:misc_RNA from 1 species
UUUCCGUAGGUGAACCUGCGGAAGGAUCAUUAAAGAGUUAGGGUCCUCGUGGCCCGAGCUCCAACCCUUUGUGAAUUCGACCCAGUUGCCUCGGGGGCGACCCGGCCUUCGGGCGUCGGGGCCCCCGUUGGACCACCCAACCCUGCAUCGUUGCGUCUGAGUCGAAAUAUAAAUCAAUCAAAACUUUCAACAACGGAUCUCUUGGUUCUGGCAUCGAUGAAGAACGCAGC